GAUGAAGAACGCAGUGAAAUGCGAUAAGUAAUGUGAAUUGCGGAAUUCAGUGAAUCAUCGAAUCUUUGAACGCACAUUGCGCCCGCCAGUAUUCUGGCGGGCAUGCCUGUCUGAGCGUCAUUUCAACCCUCAAGCAACUUCUGCUUGGUGUUGGGGAUCGGCCGUCAAACGCCGCCCCCGAAAUCUAUUGGCGAUCUCGCUGUAGCUUCCUAUGCGUAGUAGUAACAUCUCGCAUCUGGAGAGCGGCGCGGUCAUGCCGUAAAACACCCAACUUCUCAGGUUGACCUCAGAUCAGGUAGGAAUACCCGCUGAACUUAAGCAUAUCAAUAAGCGGAGGA
rnacentral:misc_RNA from 1 species